rnacentral:rRNA from 1 species
GUGGCGCACGGGUGAGUAACGCGUGGGAAUAUACCAAGUAGUGGGGAAUAACUCCGGGAAACUGGAGCUAAUACCGCAUACGCCCUUCGGGGGAAAGAUUUAUCGCUAUUUGAUUAGCCCGCGUGAGAUUAGGUAGUUGGUGGGGUAAUGGCCUACCAAGCCGACGAUCUCUAGCUGGUCUGAGAGGAUGAUCAGCCACACUGGAACUGAGACACGGUCCAGACUCCUACGGGAGGCAGCAGUGGGGAAUAUUGGACAAUGGGCGAAAGCCUGAUCCAGCCAUGCCGCGUGAGUGAUGAAGGCUCUAGGGUUGUAAAGCUCUUUCGCCGAUGAAGAUAAUGACGGUAGUCGGAGAAGAAGCCCCGGCUAACUUCGUGCCAGCAGCCGCGGUAAUACGAAGGGGGCUAGCGUUGUUCGGAAUUACUGGGCGUAAAGCGCACGUAGGCUGUGCGGCAAGUCAGUGGUGAAAUCCCGGAGCUCAACUUCGGAACUGCCAUUGAAACUGCUGUGCUAGAAUCUCGGAGGGGGUAGCGGAAUUCCAAAUGUAGGGGUGAAAUCCGUAGAUAUUUGGAGGAACACCGGUGGCGAAGGCGGCUACCUGGACGAGUAUUGACGCUGAGGUGCGAAAGCGUGGGGAUCAAACAGGAUUAGAUACCCUGGUAGUCCAC